GGUGGGGCAACGCUACAACCCCUCUGUGUUAAGGUGCUUCCCAGGGCAACGCUACAACCCCUCUGUGUUAAGGUGCUUCCCAGGGCAACGCUACAACCCCUCUGUGUUAAGGUGCUUCCCAGGGCAACGCUACAACCCCUCUGUGUUAAGGUACUUCCCAGGGCAACGCUACAACCCCUCUGUGUUAAGGUGCUUCCCAGGGCAACGCUACAACCCCUCUGUGUUAAGGUGCUUCCCAGGGCAACGCUACAACCCCC